rnacentral:lncRNA from 1 species
AACGUUUUGUCUCUCGCGUGCUUCUCCAUCGAUCGAUUUCUUAUCUGUACAUCUGCGGCAGAUGGUUGUCGAGAUUGAACCGGUGGUAAGGUACCAUGCGUGCUAUAUUUGAUCUUCUCUUUCGUUUUAGAUGCAAGGGGUGGUUGUUAGUUUCGCCAUUGACCCUCGACGGCGGUAGGAAGAGGUGACGAGACUAAAAUCAGGAGUAGCAGAAGACAAAUGAGGGUCCGAUGAUCCAGUUUCUCUCGCCUGAGCUCCCCCUUUUCUAGAAAUAUACCACCCGACCUCCGAAUCAAUAGCUCUGGGGCAUAAUUGAUAUCGGGGAUAAAUUGAUUUGGAGACUGAUCCUUACUAUAAAACUAUGAACUUGCAGAACAUGGAGGACGUUUUUAGGUUUUCUUCAAGAGAACGUGAGAAGUAAUUGUUAGGUUUGAUAAAUACAGAUUGGAAGUGGAAAACGUACACAUUGUGUGGUUAACAAACCGCCACGCCUGAAGAUCAAUCGACCGGUGGUAAUCAAGAGUUGUUCUGCCCGUCUUCCAGGUGUAUUCAAAUACACAAAAACCUCAUAAAUCUCUUUACUAACGUCAAUUUAUGAUGAUAAAUGAAAAUACUGAAAUGGAGAUCAAAAAAUGUUACUGGAAUUCCUGAAAGAAAGCGAGAAACACGUGAAUAAGCCAAUAACGAAACACCAAGUCAGACAACUACUGCUACAGUAAUGAGCACAAGCUCAAACACCAAGGAUGAGUGGAGGUUUGCACCCUAGAUUAUGAAGAAGUACCACAAGUAGUCGUGAUCAAGCACAAAGAAAGCUUUAUAUUGGCGGGUUGUCUCCUGAAACAAGUGGAAUGCUGCUUCUUUUUUUCCAAAAAAAAAACAUGCUGAUAUAGAAGAAGGUUUUGUUGCAUAUGACAAAGAAACAAACAAAUCACGGGCAAGAAGCAUCUGGUGGCAAGUAUGUGUAUGGCUACAACUACCUAUCCCAGCUCAGUUCGAGACUAAAUGGGCUACUACAACACAUAGAACAAAAACAUCUGAGCAAGGCCAAGAAGAAAGCAACUGGAACCGAAAUGUGCACGCUGUGGAAGAUAUGGAACAGCCGCAUUGAAAAGAUAUUCGAAGGAGGCGCAAACUCU